GAUGAACGCUGGCGGCGUGCCUAAUACAUGCAAGUCGAGCGAACGAACGAGAAGCUUGCUUCUCUGAUGUUAGCGGCGGACGGGUGAGUAACACGUGGAUAACCUACCUAUAAGACUGGGAUAACUUCGGGAAACCGGAGCUAAUACCGGAUAAUAUUUUGAACCGCAUGGUUCAAAAGUGAAAGACGGUCUUGCUGUCACUUAUAGAUGGAUCCGCGCUGCAUUAGCUAGUUGGUAAGGUAACGGCUUACCAAGGCAACGAUGCAUAGCCGACCUGAGAGGGUGAUCGGCCACACUGGAACUGAGACACGGUCCAGACUCCUACGGGAGGCGGCAGUAGGGAAUCUUCCGCAAUGGGCGAAAGCCUGACGGAUCAACGCCGCGUGAGUGAUGAAGGUCUUCGGGUCGUAAAACUCUGUUAUUAGGGAAGAACAUAUGUGUAAGUAACUGUGCACAUCUUGACGGUACCUAAUCAGAAAGCCACGGCUAACUACGUG
rnacentral:rRNA from 1 species